rfam:Otolemur garnettii contig175465, whole genome shotgun sequence.
CCAAAGGCUCUUUUCAGAGCCACUUAAAAUUUUCCUGUAAAGAACUG